UCUGUUUCAUUUUCUCUUGACAGUGAAUACAGCUCUGGCAGAUAUUUUGUUUAGCAAUACCCACAAAAGCCGUCUCCCACGGAUAGCACCAUUUGGAGAUUCCUGAUUAGCCCUCCAACCUCAUGCCGGCAGGAGUUUAAUGGCUAAGCUCGAGCUAUCGUCAAGGGUAAACCUGAAAGGUCUAGCUGAGGAGUCGGCACGACGUAAGAGAGAGGAUGAACGUAUAUACUCAAAUUCCAUGCGAGAUCAGAGGGAAAGACACACAUUCCCUUGAAGGGUAAAACACCUUUUGCAGUACAGAUCUUUGGAUGGUUUGAUGCAGACAAAGAUUAAAGAAUAGGCAGUUUCAUCUAAAACACAUGAACAUUUCAAUUUUAAGGAUCAAGAAAAAGCAACCCAUGUUCCAAGAUAAUGGAGCAACAUGCAAUUUUUUUGGUACAUUCUGCCACUUUGUGACUGUAAUCAUUAUUAACUUUUAAUGGGUAGUUUUUGCAA